GUAGUCAUAUGCUUGUCUCAAAGAUUAAGCCAUGCAUGUCUAAGUAUAAGCAAUCAUACUGUGAAACUGCGAAUGGCUCAUUAAAUCAGUUAUCGUUUAUUUGAUAGUACCUUUACCUGGAUAACCGUGGUAAUUCUAGAGCUAAUACAUGCUAAAAACCCCGACUUCGGAAGGGGUGUAUUUAUUAGAUAAAAAACCAAUGCCCUCUGGGCUCUUUGGUGAUUCAUAAUAACUUAACGAAUCGCAUGGCCUUGCGCCGGCGAUGGUUCAUUCAAAUUUCUGCCCUAUCAACUUUCGAUUGUAAGAUAGAGGCUUACAAUGGUAUUAACGGGUAACGGGGAAUUAGGGUUCUAUUCCGGAGAGGGAGCCUGAGAAACGGCUACCACAUCCAAGGAAGGCAGCAGGCGCGCAAAUUACCCAACGCUAAUUCAGCGAGGUAGUGACAAUAAAUACUGAUACGGGGCUCUUUCGGGUCUCGUAAUUGGAAUGAGUACAAUCUAAAUCCCUUAACGAGGAACAAUUGGAGGGCAAGUCUGGUGCCAGCAGCCGCGGUAAUUCCAGCUCCAAUAGCGUAUAUUAAAGUUGUUGCCGUUAAAAAGCUCGUAGUUGAACCUUGGACCUGGCUGAUCUGUCCUCCUAAUCGAGCGCACGGAUUCGGUCGGGUCUUUCCUUCUGGGGAGCCCUAUGCCCUUCACUGGGUGUAGUGGGGAACCAGGACUUUUACCUUGAAAAAAAUUAGAGUGUCCAAAGCAGGCCUUUGCUCGAAUACAUUAGCAUGGAAUAAUAGAAUAGGACAUCGGUUCUAUUUUGUUGGUUUCUAGGACCGCUGUAAUGAUUAAUAGGGAUAGUCGGGGGCGUCAGUAUUCAAUUGUCAGAGGUGAAAUUCUUGGAUUUAUUGAAGACUAACUACUGCGAAAGCAUUCGCCAAGGAUGUUUUCAUUAAUCAGUGAACGAAAGUUAGGGGGUCGAAGACGAUCAGAUACCGUCGUAGUCUUAACCAUAAACUAUGCCGACUAGGGAUCGGACGGUGGUUUUUUUAUGCCCCGUUCGGCACCUUACGAGAAAUCAAAGUUUUUGGGCUCGGGGGGGAGUAUGGUCGCAAGGCUGAAACUUAAAGAAAUUGACGGAAGGGCACCACCAGGCGUGGAGCCUGCGGCUUAAUUUGACUCAACACGGGGAAACUCACCAGGUCCAGACAUGCUUAGGAUUGACAGAUUGAUAGCUCUUUCUUGAUUGUAUGGGUGGUGGUGCAUGGCCGUUCUUAGUUGGUGGAGUGAUUUGUCUGCUUAAUUGCGAUAACGAACGAGACCUUGACCUGCUAAAUAGCCAGGUUGACUUUUGUCGGCCGCCGGCUUCUUAGAGGGACUUUUGGCUCAAGCCAAU
rnacentral:rRNA from 1 species